GUUAUUAUUUGGUUUUAUAAGGUUGGGGAAAAGGAGAGUGAUAAAAAUGUGAUUUUAGUUAGGUUUUGGGGUUUGGCUUGAAUUCUGCUGCAAUAGUAGAGGAUCCUCCAAAUUUUUUAGUUUGCUACAGUUUCACUGUAUUUCAUAUUAUCUGAAUCAAUGAGACAUUUUUGGAUCUAGAAUUUUUCCUGUAAAAAUAAUCAUAUGCAGACCUCAAUCUCAACAUGUAAAUCCAUGUUGAAUCAUAGUGAAUGAACUUUCUGAGAAAUAAUCUGGAUGGACAGAGUAAUUAGCUUUGGAAUUUGGAUUGUGUUAAUAUUGAUUAUUUUUGGCUUGAAGGAUAUCAAAACCAGAUAUAAUGGCAUGAUUUAGUAUUUUAGAAAUAAAGUUGUUAAAAUGAAUGAGUUGUUUUAGUUAACCCAAUUUAAUUCCUCUGACUGGAUCACUUUAAGAUCAUGACCAAUCUACUCUUCCAUAGAUACCCCCACUUGGCUGUGAUACUUUAAUAACAUAGUUGUGCCAGGAAACUAUUUACCUUUAUCCCUCCAGCCAUUAACUACUUAUAUCAUUAAAAGGAAGCUUGUCAUUAUAGACCUAAAUGCAUAAAAUAUAAUAAAGAAUGAGUCAGAAAUAAUUUCAUCAUGAGUUUUUAGUGGAACAAUUACAUGCUUCCUACAUUCCAUCCUUUACUAUGAAAUGUCCCAGGAACGCUGGAAAUCACAGCAUUCUAACCAGCUUACUCACAGGCGCACAGUAAAUAACAUCCUGGCUGUAAGUAGCUCACAGUCCAGGUAAGGAGAGAACUAUAUAAGCAAAUAACAAAAUACAGUGUGAUAAGCUGAACAAGACAGAGAUCACCAAGGCACCAUGGGAACAUAGUGAGGGGCUUCUCACUCGGCUUUAGAGGGAAGGGCAGAGGUGAGGGAAGAGAGCAUAUUUAAGGAUGGCUCCCCAGAGGCAGUGAUAUCUAGUAUGUCUCUUUGCCAUCUCGUUUUGUUUCUUCUAAUCUAUGUUUUAUCUCCUUAAAAAAAUGUCAUAGGCAUGAAAGAAGACUGUGUGUACACAGUAACACGUGGACAUGGUCGUUUGAAAGGGGAUGGAGACCACAAAACCUCUAGCUGUCCCCAUCCAAUUGGUUCCUUUUUUUCUUCUCUGUCAACUUCCUCCAACAUUCUAGAAUACAUGAAAGAAAAGCAAUUUAGGUCAAGAAAUCAAGCACAUUGGCAGACCUAACUUGACCUUUACCAACUCUUAAACCUGACCCAACUGGAACAUGGAAUUAAGUCUAUUUCAGAUCAGACUUGACCAAGCCUUUCACUGAAUAGGAAAACGUAAACUAUAAGAAAGAUUGUGAAAUGCCUUAAGUGGACCACAGAAAUAAAAAACUUAAGAAGU